UACGUAGGGGGCUAGCGUUGUCCGGAAUCAUUGGGCGUAAAGAGCGUGUAGGCGGUCCGGUAAGUCCGUUGUGAAAGUCAGGGGCUCAACCCUUGAAUGCCGGUGGAUACUGUCGGGCUAGAGUGCGGGAGAGGCGAGUGGAAUUCCUGGUGUAGCGGUGAAAUGCGCAGAUAUCAGGAGGAACACCAAUUGCGAAGGCAGCUCGCUGGAACGUAACUGACGCUGAGACGCGAAAGCGUGGGGAGCAAACAGG
rnacentral:rRNA from 1 species